AACGGGUGAGUAACGCGUGAGGAACCUGCCUUUCAGGUAGGGGGACAACAGUUGGAAACGACUGCUAAUACCGCAUAAUGUUAUCGAUUGGCAUCGAUUGAUAACCAAAGCUUUAUGUGCUGAAAGAUGGCCUCGCGUCUGAUUAGAUAGUUGGUGAGGUAACGGCUCACCAAGUCGACGAUCAGUAGCCGGACUGAGAGGUUGAACGGCCACAUUGGGACUGAGAUACGGCCCAGACUCCUACGGGAGGCAGCAGGUGGGGAAUAUUGGGCAAUGGGGGAAACCCUGACCCAGCAACGCCGCGUGAAGGAAGAAGGCCUUCGGGUUGUAAACUUCUUUUAGCAGGGACGAAGGACGUGACGGUACCUGCAGAAAAAGCAACGGCUAACUACGUG
rnacentral:rRNA from 1 species